rnacentral:rRNA from 1 species
GCUUACGGCCACACCUCCCUGAGCACGCCCGAUCUCUGAUCUCGGAAGCUAAGCAGGGUCGGGCCCGGUUAGUACUUGGAUGGGAGACCGCCUGGAAUACCAGGUGCUGUAAGCC